GAAAAUCGAUAGAGUAACCAGUAAACAUAGGAGGAUUGUAUAAGUAUUCAUUCUCAAUGGAGCACACUUUCACGCAACGUUGUUUCGCGCGCGAUGAUGAUGAAAUAGUGUAAGGAAUGAGAGAAACGGUGUUUUUUUUUCAAAUUAUGGCCAGAGGCAAAAGGUAUCGUGAACAUCAGAAACGUAAGGGGUUUGCUUUUUUG
ensembl:ncRNA T13H2.8 ncRNA